AUGUAAUAACCUAAAAGUAGAAAGUGACCCGUUUGUUCUCUCCGUCGCUUCUCGACGUCCCCGUUUGUCCUCUCUCUCUGUCUCCCAAGUUUGACGGUGGAGAUUACAAUGGCCCUCGAAUGGUCUCGGCCAUGGCGUCUCAGCCAUCAUCAGAUUCAAACCUCCUAGAAAUAGUUACCACCGCAAAUAGAACUGCUACGGCUGCUAAUACAAAUGCUCUUAUGGUAACUCGACCUUGGGAACAACACAACUAUGCGAGCACUUAUGGCCUGUAUGGUUCAUCAUAUGGUGGGCAUAGUUCAUCAUACAGGAGCUGAAUGCAUGGUCAUGGCAUGUAUAAGGGAGAUGUUAUAUGUUGGUCCAUAGGGAGGUUCUAGUAUGUAUGGGGGAAAGAUGCAUAAUGGUUGAUUUUGUGGUCCUAUGGUUGGUGGUUAUGGUAUGGGCAUGGGGCCUAUUGGCGGCGGUCAAAGAUCCAAACGAUCCCUUUGGUGAACCACUCUCUCCCUCCCAACCUUUGGAUAAUCAUCUUAUUCCUCUCCUUGGUAUGAUAUAGAACAUGAUAUUCUUCCAAUUGAUGCAUGGUUUGGCCAGAGAUUGGGUUUUAUUUAUGUCUAAAACCCCAAAUUCGUGUUCGGGUUCAGACAUCUUGUUAAUUUCAGCCAUCUUUUGACUGUGGUGCUCCUCGGCCGAGCUCUUCGAUCAUUGCUGGGCCGUACUCCAGUCUCGGGGCCCUUGCCUCUCGUUGUUUUCGAGUCCAAUGUGAUAUUCUCGACUUCUCCUCUCGUCGUCGCAAUCGGUUUAGGGUUAUUACCCAUCUCCGCCACCUCGACGACCUGCGUGGUUUGGUUAACUGAAAGACAGAUGACUACAACAAUGAGAGAAAGAAGCAUACAGAUCACACCAAAUACCAAUUGGCAGCUCAUUCCGUCUGAGUUGUGAAGUAAAAUUGAAUUGAAGCUCCAUAUAUCAUUGUGAGUAAAGAAGCUUCUGCAAUCAAAUAUCAUGUUAGUGGCAGUCAAGAGUGUGUUUCUCCAACGGAUUGAAUUGCACAUACACUCCAUGAAGUUUGUCUGGAUCAUAGAAAACCGGUUUGGAACUGCAGGGCUCUUUAACCGGAGGGUUUGAGCUUGAUGCAGUUGAAGAGGAAGUCUUCUAUGUUCUUAAUGGCAAGACUAGACUUUGAUUUGAUCUGUCUGGUUCAUAUAAUACCAGUUUGGAACUGCCAAGAAAUCUCAAUGCUGUCUUCAUCUCAUCAGUGAUUAAGAAAUAAAAGGGUUUAGUUUAGUAUCA